GGACUGUAGCUCAUUGGUAGAGUGCCUGCCUAGCAUGCAUGAGGCACUGGGUUUGAUCCUCAGCACCA
rnacentral:tRNA from 1 species